AGUGAACGCUGGCGGUAGGCCUAACACAUGCAAGCCGAACGGCAGCACAGUAAGAGCUUGCUCUUACGGGUGGCGAGUGGCGGACGGGUGAGGAAUACAUCGGAAUCUACUUUUUCGUGGGGGAUAACGUAGGGAAACUUACGCUAAUACCGCAUACGACCUACGGGUGAAAGCAGGGGAUCUUCGGACCUUGCGCGAUUGAAUGAGCCGAUGUCGGAUUAGCUAGUUGGCGGGGUAAGGGCCCACCAAGGCGACGAUCCGUAGCUGGUCUGAGAGGAUGAUCCCCCACUGUGUAACUGACACACGGUCCACACUCCUACGGGGGCCAGCCCUGGGGAAUAUUGGACAUUGGGCGCCUGCCUGCUCCAGCCAUGCCGCGUGGCUGAAGCCGGCCUUCGCGUUGUACAGCCCUUUUGUUGCGGAGGAAACGCAGCAGGUUUAUUCCCCGCUGUUCUGACGGUCCCCCCAGCAUCAGCACCGGCUAACUGCGUG
rnacentral:rRNA from 1 species